rnacentral:rRNA from 1 species
UACGUAGGUGGCAAGCGUUGUCCGGAUUUACUGGGCGUAAAGAGCGCGCAGGCGGUCGUUUAAGUCGAAUGUGAAAGCCCCCGGCUCAACUGGGGAGGGUCACGCGAUACUGAUCGACUCGAAGGCAGGAGAGGGAAGUGGAAUUCCCGGUGUAGUGGUGAAAUGCGUAGAUAUCGGGAGGAACAUCUGUGGCGAAGGCGGCCAUCUGGACCAGCACUGACACUGAGGCACGAAAGCGUGGGGAGCAAACAGG